rnacentral:rRNA from 1 species
UACGUAGGCAGCAAGCGUUGUUCGGAAUUACUGGGCGUAAAGCGCACGUAGGCGGUUUGUUAAGUCAGAGGUGAAAUCCCGGAGCUCAACUCCGGAACUGCCUUUGAUACUGGCAAGCUAGAGUCCGGAAGAGGUAAGUGGAACUCCUAGUGUAGAGGUGGAAUUCGUAGAUAUUAGGAAGAACACCAGUGGCGAAGGCGACUUACUGGUCCGGAACUGACGCUGAGGUGCGAAAGCGUGGGGAGCAAACAGG